rnacentral:tRNA from 1 species
GCCCCUGUAGCUCAGUUGGCAGAGCAUCUGACUUUUAAUCAGUAAGGUCGUCGGUUCGAGCCCGACCGGGGGCA